GGAGUUAUAGCUCAGUGGGAGAGCAUCUGCUUGACGUGCAGAGGGUCGGGGGUUCGAAUCCCUCUAACUUCACCA
rnacentral:tRNA from 1 species